rnacentral:rRNA from 1 species
AGUUUUAUGAGACUCUAUAAAAUGAAACCUGCCCAAUGAAGAUUUAAUGGCCGCAGUACUUUAACUGUGCUAAGGUAGCAUAAUAAUUUGGCUUUUAAUUAAAGUCUGGUAUGAAAGGAUUAAUGGGUAAAAUCUGUCUUGUUUGACUUAAAAAAAAUUACUUAAGAGGUGAAAAUACCUCUAGAGAAUAAUUAGACGAGAAGACCCUAGGAGUUUUGAUUUUGUUGGGGCAACAUUUUAGUAAAAUAAUCUAUUUAUUAUAUUUAACGAAUAUAUUAAUUAUAAUUAAACUACCCUAGGGAUAACAGCAUAAUUUUUUUAAAGAUUGUGACCUCGAUGUUGG